AAAAGAGAGAUUGAUUUAAUUUCUACCCAAAUAAAGAAAUUUCAAAUGUAGAUUUGCAAAUUUUCAAACUGCUAACACUGUUCGAGCAUUCUUAGCAGUUCCCUUUACAAGGAAAAAGAAAAAUUCUAAGCCAAUUGCCAAGUACCUAAAUCAUGGGUGAUCCUUUCCCAAAGAUUGUGGCAAAAUACCAAAGAAUAUUAAGCAUAAAAUACAAAAGAAAACUCUGAAAGACUAUAGCACUUGAAUAAAGAACAGUUGCAUAAAAAAGAGAUCAUUU
rnacentral:misc_RNA from 1 species